rnacentral:lncRNA from 1 species
GGAGGUGAGCGAUAUUGACAUGGUCUCCCAAUGACAUUACAAUAAGAAUAGUAAUAAACUGAGCUUGGGGAGGAAUAAAGAAGUUGAGGAAAAAGACUUCUCUAGUUUUUGAAGCAAAACGUUACCUUUGUUCUGGAUUGACUAGAAACGGAGAUGUAUAGUUCUCUGUGAUAAAACAACUCCUAAGGGAAGAAAGAGGUAACUAUUAACGUGCCUAGC